rnacentral:rRNA from 1 species
CACGUAGGGGACGAGCGUUGUCCGGAUUCAUUGGGCGUAAAGAGCUCGUAGGCGGCCACUCAAGUCGAAUGUGAAACCUCGAGGCUCAACCUCGAGCCUGCAUUCGAUACUGGGCGGCUAGAGUCUGGUAGGGGGAUCUGGAAUUCCUGGUGUAGCGGUGGAAUGCGCAGAUAUCAGGAGGAACACCGGUGGCGAAGGCGGGAUCCUGGGCCAGUACUGACGCUGAGGAGCGAAAGCGUGGGGAGCAAACAGG